AUGUGGGAAAGGCUAAAUCAAGUUGGCUCUGCCACAGCUGCUUCGACGUUCCUGAUUAUCCUCAUGCUUUGGACAUUCCUACUGGCAGUUGAGCGAUUGAGUAAGUCACAAAAAAACGUAUUCUCUGUGUUUAUCAUCUUAUGGUUUGUACAAUCGAUUAAGGGACAGGCCACUAUUUGUUUGUCCUCAGAAAAGGAGCCCAAAUACUGUCUCGGGCCUGAUGGCCUGCACUCUGGAUCAGGUCUGGUGACGUUAGUCCCCCAGACCUCGUCUGCUGUCUCUGCCGGCUCCUAACACCCUGCGGCCACACACCCACCACAGCUCCACACACAGCUGAUGGCUCCUCUUCUUCCUCCUCUUCUUCCCCCAACUCCUCCCAGGUGUUUUGGCUCACACUAAUUCGCUGUAUGAACACCUUGACCUCAACCCCAGUC
rnacentral:lncRNA from 1 species